CCAUAGUGAUGCUUCUGACUUUCAUUCUUCUGAGUUUGCUGAAACCAGAUGCCAUUUUUGAGAAGG
rnacentral:snoRNA from 1 species